rnacentral:lncRNA from 1 species
AUGUUCAGGCGCUCCAGGCUAGCCUCUCUGUGUGGGAGCAUGAAGCCCGAUAAUCGACACACUCCAGCUGAUAUAAGCAUUUUCCAUAGUCAAAAGGUCUGUGAUGUCCUGUGUGUUCUGAGCAUAGAGAUGAAUAAUGCAUGCACUCCAGCUGCUAUAAGCACUUCCAUGGUUACGAGCUCUCUGGUUGCAUCUGUGAGUUAGGAGCAUAGAGACCAAUGUGAGUAAUAGUCAAAGUUUUUGUCUUUUCCUGGUUUCUUUUUUUUAAAAAAAGGUAUUUACUAUAUCAUUAGGAAGUAUGCAAUAUAAUUAAGGGCAACUAUAGCCCAGUGACAAAUAUGGAAUUGAUUAUAUUGAUUAGUAGGGGUUGAUUGUAGUGAUUAAUGCAUUUGUAUAAAAUAUUAUAAUUAGGGCAGCCCAGGUGGCUCAGCGGUUUAGGGUCGUCUUCAGCCCAGGGUGUGAUCCUGGAGACCGGGGAUGGAGUCCCACAUUGGGCUUCCUGCAUGAAGCCUGCUUCUCCCUCUGCCUGUGUCUCUGCCUCUCUCUCUGUGUCUCUCAUGAAUGAAUAAAUAAAAUCUUUAAAAAAACAGUAUAAUUAACAAAAGUGAUAAUCAUAUGGACAUAGUAGAGAUAUCAAGGCUUUCUUUGCACUUUUGUGAAUAAUAGCAUCUUAAAAUUAUUAUUAGUGAAUUAAUGAAUUAGUCAAUAAACAAUGUAACACUGAAUGCAGAGAAAAAGAGGGACAUUAUUGGAUCGAUGAUGACCACUGGUGGCGUGUGAGUCAUAUACAAUGAAUAUGUGUCUGGAAGUCCGAGGUCCAACAGAAAUACAGUCUAGUCCACCACCCUGUGUGAAGUGAUCUUAUAGACAGAUAUCAUGAAUACAGAAGGAUCCUGUUUUGGGUUCAUGUUCAUGCAUUCUCUAUUUUUAUAAUUGGAUCAAUGAGAUGAUCAAUAAACUGUAUAAAGAUUAUGGUCAUAAGGCAUGUCCAAUUAUAAAAACACCUAGAGAGACAAGAAAUAACUAUGAAUGUGUGUUGAAAACACACCCUUAUCCACUAAGAAAUAAGUGAUACAAACAAAAGUGUUGCCUCUUUGGCGAGUGACUGCAUAGGCAGUGUUAAAUAGUAAUGGUUAAUGCUCCUAUUCUGUGUCAGUGGCAAGCUCACUAUUAUUCAUUUACUAGGAGAAACUAAGUAAACAGGUACCCUAAUUGCAAAUUCCCUAAAUGACCAACUAGAUAAGAGGUGGGGUGCAAGGACCAAUGGAGAUAAUAAGGUCUCAAGCUUUUUCUUUUCAUCUGCUCUGCUCUUUACUCUGCAGAAUAGACGCACGCUGAUUUAAGCAUUCUUCCAUGAUCGCAAGUUCUAUGGCUACAUCUUUGUGUUGGAGAAUGGAGACCAAUGUGAGUAAUAGUCAAUGUUCUUGUCUCAGUUUAGGUGGUUUAAGGAUAUUCACUGUAUUGUUAAAAAAUGUAAAAUAUAAUCAGUGAAUGCCAACCAUGGCCCUAAAAUGCAGCUAAUAUGAAACAUUGUGUUCAUUAAUGCAUAUUCAAAACAUUGAGGUCAGUUAAUGAAAGAAAUGAGUUGCUGGGGGUAAAUAAUACUAUUGACAGAUGUUACACAUUAGUCCCUGUCAACCAUGCACUAAUAAUAAAGUAAGAGGUUAAAAUGAACAUGUUGGCUAAUCUAUACAUUCAACACCGAGGUCAGGUAGCAAAGUCUAUCUAGACUAUUUGCCCGGUAGAAAGUGAUUUUAUGUACAGAUAUUAGGGAUGUUAAAGUUUUCAAAGCCUCAUGAGCAUUUUUUAUUAUUAGUGAAUUAAUGAAUUAAUAUCUAAACAAAAUCAUGGUUCAAAGAAGAAAAAGAGGGCAAAAUCUGGACCAAUAUUGAAGACUAACUAGUCCGAGAAGAGGCAAGUAUGAAUAAGGCUUAUCUACAACAUUGUGAUCCAGUGCAAAAGGAAAUCUAGUCUAUUGCUUCUGUUAUAAAUGGUCCUAUAAGCAGUUGUUAGAGAUAUCCAGGAAUAUUACUAUUGGGCUACUGAGUUUCACAAAUAUUGAUUGUUUAUUAAAAAUUAAGCAAUGCAACAAUAGCUAAAAGCAUGAAUAAAUGAGGGAAAAAUAGGUCCAAAUGCGGUGUGAUUAUAGCAUAUGUAAUGAAAUUAACAUCAUUCCAAAUUCACUUCUAAGGAACAGAAAUCCAUUAAAAAAAUAUAAAGGCAUUUAUACCUCAUCAGAAGGGACAUAGGGACAGAUGUGUGUCAUUGUUGAUGUUCAUGUUCCAUGCCAUCUUUGGAUUGCAAGUGUUUUUGUUUUUUUCAGUUGAGAAAUAGGGAAAAAGUUUAUAUAAUGUCAUCAACUAACUAUUUUAAAGAGGGUCAAGCAUGAACCAGUGACAAAAUUAAGUCAUAUAACAAGAUAUGAUCAAUCCAAUUGGCUUCACUAUGUUCUAUUGGUGAUCAUUCCUCAAUGUAUAUGUAAAUCAAAUGUCACAUUGUAUACUUUAAAUAUAUGCAAUGUGUUUAUCAAUAACUUCUCAGUAAAGUUGGAAAAGAAGUAUAUAGUCCUUUGUCAUUUAUUAUAGUGAGUACCUGUACACAGUUAUUAUUAUUAUUAUUACUACUAUUAUUAUUUUUGUACACAGUUAUUAUUAAUUAGUGUUAUAAUCUUAAGUUUGUAUAUAACAGUACACAGUCUAUCAGUAGAAAGUAAGACAUUAAAUGUACGAAGAGUAAAAAAAAAAGAGGACAAAACACGUGGCCAGCAAUGAGCAUGGGGUGAUACAUGAUUCAGUAGUUCUACUCAUGUUUUGUCCCUCCAAGAAACAAAUCUCAGUUCUCUCCAAGUUGAUUUAGGGGAACUGUGCAGAUGUACAAUUAGCAUUUCUAUUCUGGGUUUCUGGGAAGUUAAAGAACUUUCAUUUUUUUCAAUGGUUUUCAUUUUUUAAAAAAAGUGAAUAGUUUGUCAAUUUUUUAUGAAUUAAAGUUUGAAUGAAUGAAUGUUAAAGCGAUCAACAAAUAUUUAUAUGCAUAAAUAAAAUUAAAGAAGACCAAAUAUGAGUCUAUGGUGGAGAUAUGUGGCAAGGUUUAUGAAGUAACCAAUUUCAGUAUGAUUUUUUUUAAAGGAUUGAGGAUUUUACAUUCACAUUCUUUUUUUUU